GCGACCCCAGGUUCAGGCG
rnacentral:rRNA from 1 species